rnacentral:rRNA from 1 species
GCUUCUUGGUGAUUCAUGAUAACUUAACGGAUCGCAUGGCCUUGCGCCGGCGACGGUUCAUUCAAAUUUCUGCCCUAUCAACUUUCGAUGGUAAGGUAGUGGCUUACCAUGGUUUCAACGGGUAACGGGGAAUUAGGGUUCGAUUCCGGAGAGGGAGCCUGAGAAACGGCUACCACAUCCAAGGAAGGCAGCAGGCGCGCAAAUUACCCAAUCCCGAUUCGGGGAGGUAGUGACAAUAAAUACUGAUACAGGGCUCUUUUGGGUCUUGUAAUUGGAAUGAGUACAAUUUAAACCUCUUAACGAGGAACAAUUGGAGGGCAAGUCUGGUGCCAGCAGCCGCGGUAAUUCCAGCUCCAAUAGCGUAUAUUAAAGUUGUUGCAGUUAAAAAGCUCGUAGUUGAACCUUGGGCCUGGCUGGCGGGUCCGCCUCACCGCGUGUACUUGUCCGGCCGGGCCUUCCUUCUGGAGAACCUCAUGCCCUUCACUGGGCGUGUUGGGGACCAGGACUUUUACUUUGAAAAAAUUAGAGUGUUCAAAGCAGGCCUUUGCUCGAAUACGUUAGCAUGGAAUAAUAAAAUAGGACGUGCGGUCCUAUUUUGUUGGUUUCUAGGACCGCCGUAAUGAUUAAUAGGGACAGUCGGGGGCAUCAGUAUUCAAUUGUCAGAGGUGAAAUUCUUGGAUUUAUUGAAGACUAACUACUGCUAAAGCAUUUGCCAAAGAUGUUUUCAUUAAUCAAUGAACGAAAGUUAGGGGAUCGAGAAAGAUCUUAUACCGUCGUAGUCUUAACCGUAAACAAUGACUUUCUCCGACUAGGGAUCGGGCGAUAUUCUUUUUCUGACUCGCUC